rnacentral:sRNA from 1 species
UUGAUAUUCCGUUGAAUAUUACUAGCUAUCUAGAUCUCAGCUUUAUUUAAAUUUUCUAAAACAUUAACUACUUUUAAGUGCCGGGAGAAAUUAUCGAUGUCUUCACAUCCCUACAGAAAGUGCAACAACAAAUUUCGCGAGUCACCUAAGGAACCAGUGCAACUGAAUCAGUUCCGACUGACAAUUAACAGUAUGACCUUGCAAAAUUCUGCGAACAACUAAACACAGAACCUUCAAUAUGACGGUUUCUUUAAUUUUUCCUAUAUCAAAUCGUGUUUCACUGCAUGAAUCCUCAUAUUUGAAUUAUUGUUGUUAUUUUACGAAUGGGCGCGUUCACCAGCAUUUACUCAAUGAUGGAUUUCAUAUGACAGUGCCGAUGAUUAAUAAUUUCCAUGCGUACAUAUCGAUAUAUGUCAAAAGCAAUGCAUCACAAGGAGCGGAAUAUUUUUACACUCCAUCUCAAGCAACGUAUGAGCAUUUUCAGCAGUAUAUUUACGGUAUAUUUUGAAAUUCGGACGGUAUAUUUUGAUGGGAUUUCCACUCUUGAUCGGAUCUUUGUGGAGUUAUUCCCAUCACAAAUUUCUGUAAAACCUUAUUUUAAAAACAAUCCAAUAAAAGGAAGUCUUUAAAAUUAGCCAAACUUGUACGAAAUUGAUUCGUGAAUCAGAUAAAAUGUUGUGUUCAGGACUGGAAAUCCUAGCCUUCCAGUAAUAUUCCACCGAAAAUCAAAAUCGAAAAAUUUGAUGG